rnacentral:rRNA from 1 species
UACGUAGGGUGCAAGCGUUGUCCGGAAUUAUUGGGCGUAAAGAGCUCGUAGGCGGUCUGUCGCGUCGGCUGUGAAAUCCCGGAGCUCAACUCCGGGUCUGCAGUCGAUACGGGCAAACUGGAGUACUGCAGGGGAGACUGGAAUUCCCGGUGUAGCAGUGAAAUGCGUAGAUAUCGGGAGGAAUACCGAUGGCGAAGGCAGGUCUCUGGGCUGACACUGACGCUCAUGCACGAAAGCGUGGGGAGCAAACAGG